rnacentral:rRNA from 1 species
AGGUGAUAUGAACCGUUAUAACCGGCGAUUUCCGAAUGGGGAAACCCAGUGUGUUUCGACACACUAUCAUUAACUGAAUCCAUAGGUUAAUGAGGCGAACCGGGGGAACUGAAACAUCUAAGUACCCCGAGGAAAAGAAAUCAACCGAGAUUCCCCCAGUAGCGGCGAGCGAACGGGGAGCAGCCCAGAGCCUGAAUCAGUGUGUGUGUUAGUGGAAGCGUCUGGAAAGGCGCGCGAUACAGGGUGACAGCCCCGUACACAAAAAUGCACAUACUGUGAGCUCGAUGAGUAGGGCGGGACACGUGGUAUCCUGUCUGAAUAUGGGGGGACCAUCCUCCAAGGCUAAAUACUCCUGACUGACCGAUAGUGAACCAGUACCGUGAGGGAAAGGCGAAAAGAACCCCGGCGAGGGGAGUGAAAAAGAACCUGAAACCGUGUACGUACAAGCAGUGGGAGCCUCUUAAUGGGGUGACUGCGUACCUUUUGUAUAAUGGGUCAGCGACUUAUAUUCUGUAGCAAGGUUAACCGAAUAGGGGAGCCGAAGGGAAACCGAGUCUUAACUGGGCGUUAAGUUGCAGGGUAUAGACCCGAAACCCGGUGAUCUAGCCAUGGGCAGGUUGAAGGUUGGGUAACACUAACUGGAGGACCGAACCGACUAAUGUUGAAAAAUUAGCGGAUGACUUGUGGCUGGGGGUGAAAGGCCAAUCAAACCGGGAGAUAGCUGGUUCUCCCCGAAAGCUAUUUAGGUAGCGCCUCGUGAAUUCAUCUCCGGGGGUAGAGCACUGUUUCGGCAAGGGGGUCAUCCCGACUUACCAACCCGAUGCAAACUGCGAAUACCGGAGAAUGUUAUCACGGGAGACACACGGCGGGUGCUAACGUCCGUCGUGAAGAGGGAAACAACCCAGACCGCCAGCUAAGGUCCCAAAGUCAUGGUUAAGUGGGAAACGAUGUGGGAAGGCCCAGACAGCCAGGAUGUUGGCUUAGAAGCAGCCAUCAUUUAAAGAAAGCGUAAUAGCUCACUGGUCGAGUCGGCCUGCGCGGAAGAUGUAACGGGGCUAAACCAUGCACCGAAGCUGCGGCAGCGAC